UACGGGGGGGGCAAGCGUUGUUCGGAAUUACUGGGCGUAAAGGGCCAGUAGGCGGCCAACUAAGUCGGAUGUGAAAUCCCCAGGCUUAACCUGGGAACUGCAUCCGAUACUGGAUGGCUUGAAUUCGGGAGAGGGAUGCAGAAUUCCAGGUGUAGCGGUGAAAUGCGUAGAUAUCUGGAGGAAUACCGGUGGCGAAGGCGGCAUCCUGGACCGACAUUGACGCUGAGACGCGAAGGCGUGGGGAGCGAACGGG
rnacentral:rRNA from 1 species